rnacentral:rRNA from 1 species
UUCCGGUUGAUCCCGCCGGACCCGACUGCUAUCAGAAUAGGACUAAGCCAUGCGAGUCAACGUAGCAAUACGUGGCAUACGGCUCAGUAACACGUAGUCAACAUGCCCAGGGGACGUGGAUAACCUCGGGAAACUGAGGAUAAACCGCGAUAGGUCAUAAUGUCUGGAAUGAUUUAUGGCUAAAAUCUACAUGGCCCCUGGAUUGGACUGCGGCCGAUCAGGCUGUUGGUGAGGUAGUGGCCCACCAAACCUAAAACCGGUACGGGCUCUGAGAGGAGAAGCCCGGAGAUGGGCACUGAGACAAGGGCCCAGGCCCUAUGGGGCGCAGCAGGCGCGAAAACUCUGCAAUAAGCGAAAGCUUGACAGGGUUAUUCUGAGUGAUUUCCGCUAAGGAGAUCUUUUGGCACCUCUAAAAAUGGUGCAGAAUAAGGGGUGGGCAAGCCUGGUGUCAGCCGCCGCGGUAAUACCAGCACCCCGAGUGGUCGGGACGAUUAUUGGGCCUAAAGCAUCCGUAGCCGGUUCUACAAGUCUUCCGUUAAAUCCACCUGCUUAACAGUUGGGCUGCAGAGGAUACUAUAGAGCUAGGAGGCGGGAGAGGCAAGCGGUACUUAGUGGGUAGGGGUAUAAUCCGUUGAUCCACUGAAGACCACCAGUGGCGAAGGCGGCUUGCCAGAACGCGCUCGACGGUGAGGGAUGAAAGCUGGGGGAGCAAACCGGGUUAGAUACCCGGGUAGUCCCAGCUGUAAACGAUGCAGACUCGGUGAUGAAUAGGCUUCGUGCCUAUUCAGUGCCGCAGGGAAGCCGUUGAGUCUGCCGCCUGGGGAGUACGGUCGCAAGACUGAAACUUAAAGGAAUUGGCGGGGGAGCACCACAAGGGGUGAAGCCUGCGGUUCAAUUGGAUUCAACGCCGGAA